rnacentral:rRNA from 1 species
GACGAACGCUGGCGGCGUGCUUAACACAUGCAAGUCGAGGGGGCGCCGGGGGCAACCCGGGCGUCACCGGCGAACGGGUGCGUAACACGUGAGCGACCUGCCCCGUUGUGGGGGAUAGCCGGCCCAACGGCCGGGUAAUACCGCAUACGCUUCCGCCCGGGCAUCCGGGGGGAAGGAAACUGCCGGGGUGACCCGGCGGGGCGAACGGAGGGGCUCGCGGCCUAUCAGCUGGUUGGCGGGGUAACGGCCCACCAAGGCGAUGACGGGUAGCUGGUCUGAGAGGAUGGCCAGCCACAUUGGGACUGAGAGACGGCCCAGACUCCUACGGGAGGCAGCAGUGGGAAUCUUGCGCAAUGGCCGACAGGCUGACGCAGCGACGCCGCGUGGA